GGGAGACUGAAACGACGGGUUUGCCUCUAGCUGAAUUGGCUGGUGAGCUCUAGAGAUAGUGAGAGAGCCUGCCUUAAAAAGGAUACGGUGCAGAGUUAAGGGGAAGAAAUCAGUGUUCAGAUCUGGGCUCCACGUGCAUGAGGCCCUGAACUUACGUCUGCGAAUGUGCACGCACGCACGCUCGCACGCACGGACAGAAGCAUUAGAGCUCACCCCUAACUCCUUCAGUUCUACACAGACCUAACUAGUUCCUUCAUUAAAAGGAGCUAAUAGUUUGUAAUUUUGGCAUAUAAUUCUUCCAGCACUGUGCGUGGUUGGUUGUCCUGUUUCAGGGUAACUUGCCCCUGUGCCGUGUCGGGCUUUUAUAUUUUAAUAGGAUUCUUUUCCGUGUUCUGGACCAGCCUGGAUUGAAAUAUAUCAGACGUUCAGGAUGCUCCUGAGUACCGAUGGUCUACACUUGACCACAGAAUGAUGCCCCCUGGGCUGGCGUGGCCAUAGGUUGUGAAGAUAAACGAGCCAGACAACUCUCCCUGUCCUGGCUGUUCUAGACUGCAGACAAUCCCCCAUGGCAUCGGUUGCCUCUGUGAUCACUGUGGUGGACCACGAUGCUGGUAGCAUGCAGCUAGCUCCUUCACAGCCAUGCCCAGUGGCAGAACUAUGCCACUCUCCCGAUGGCUGUCCGGUUCACUGUAAAGUGUACUUGUUGCUAAGUAACAGUAUUUUUCACAAA
rnacentral:lncRNA from 1 species